ACUCGCUGAUUGGCUGAGCAGGGCCGCGGACAGAGAGAAAUGCCGAGGAAUAGGGGCGCGGCCGCCCGGUUUCGGCGAUGGGUUAUAGGGUCCGCGUCAGCCCCGCGCCCGCACAGCCAACGUCACGCCGCAUUCUUAUUUCCAAAGACCCCUGGAGCUUGGGGUCCCACCCCAGCGGUCUUUCGGGGCGUCCCCUGCCCUUCACGCGCCGCGCCGGCUCGGCCCGAAGCGCCCUGCGGACCCGCAGCCUGGGCCGCCCCGAACCUGACGGCCCCGCGGGGGUCGGACGCGGGAGGAACGGCCUCGCUUUCAGAGACGCAGCGGGAGGGCGGUCCCCGCUGUCCCUCUGGCCGGGUCCUCAGCACGCGUUCUCCUCACUCCCAGGACUAGCGAGCGGCGGGCGCGGACCGGGGCCUGGGGUCGGAGGCGGCGCAGCCAGAAAGGCCCCAGCGGCGCUGAGACGUUUGGGGGAAGGCGGGGGCUUCGCGUUUCGAUGGCGGGAAGCGGAAUGAGGUUGGACCGGCCGGGCCGGCGUUCAGGGACCCGGCGGGAGGCGGAGGGCUGGCGUCCUCGCGGACAUCCAUCUGCAGCGAACCAGGCAGAGGCUUUGGGAUUAGAUCCUUGACUCCUUGCGUCAGUAGUUAAGGUUUGUUUAAAUAUAAAAUGGGAUGGCCCUUCUUACAAGGUUGCUGGAGGAUUAAAUGAAUAGGCAUGUGGAAAGCACCUAGUAUAAUAAGGCUCGGUAGUUUCUUCCAUCAGGGCUGGAAGAGACCACGGAGCCUGCUUUCCUCCUUCGGCGUUUGGAUCUCACAUAUCCCUUCUUCUCUGGCGAUCAAAAAUCCCUAUCUUCUGUAGAGAUCCCUUUUACAGAUCAGUGGCCUCCAGGCGGUAUCUCUAGCAACAAGUGCUACCCCAAGCGGCCGGCCACACAUAUUCCCUGGCUUCAUGACAUAGGGAGGCGCAGUCCCCACGUGAUGCAGAAGGGAAAUGUGCCUGUCCUUGCACUGACCCCGUCAGCCAUGUGUGCUCCUGGCUGUUUUCUGAAAUCAAGAACCAGUUACAUCCGCCCUUCUCCGUUCUCUAGUUGAAACCUCCCUAUCCAUCCUUCCAACAUUCAUGUAAGUUGGAGGUGGGCGUGGGAUGACACCAAACUGUUAGGUAUAAAAUACCAUCCUAGCCUUCGAGGGGUUUCUAAAGUAGUUGAGGAGUGAUAUAUUCUGGUAAAAUCAUAAUGCUGGACAGCGCAGUUCUAAGAGCCCUGUGAUCAAAGUAGCCAAAUGCCCAUUAUGAGAAUUCAGAGGGUGGAGAAAUCCAGGAAGACUCCCUGGAGGAGGUGAGAUUUUAGCUGGAUUGUAAACAAUGGUUAUUUUUCUCAUCCAGAGUGUGUACAUUGUUGAGAACACUGGCCUAGGAUAAGGGUGCACUUGGCAUCCAGGAGAUAGAGUUAAGAGUAUGUCCAUACAGGCCUUCAAAAAAUCACCACGAGGGCUGAGCGCAGUGGCUCACACCUGUAAUCCCAGCACUAUGGGAGGCAGAGGCGGGCGGAUCACGAGGUCAGGAGAUCGAGACCAUCCUGGCUAACACGGUGAAACCCCGUCUCUACUAAAAAUAUAAAAAAAUUAGCUGGGCAUGGUGGCGGGCACCUGUAGUCCUAGCUACUUUGGAGGCUGAAAGGAGAAUGGCGUGAACCCGGGAGGCAGAGCUUGCACUUGCAGUGAGCCGAGAUUGUGCCCCUGCACUCCAGCCUGGGGGACAGAGUGAGACUCCGUCUCAAAAAAAAAAAAAAAAAAAAAAUCACCACGAAAGUUCUAUAGCUCAAAAAAGACGGACUUUUUGAAUUUUGUUCUGGAAAAAAAAAAAUCCUCUGUAGAAAAUGACAGCUGUAAAGUGAAAUGUAUUUCCUUCUUUGCCUCUGCUCCUUUGUCUUGGCUUUGGCCAGAACCAAAAACAUUGCUGAGUCUGAGCAGCCACUCAUAUUAGCAGCCUGCAGCUCUUACUCUUUUCCUUUAAUGUCUUUGAUGUUUCAUUUCUGUCCUAAUUUGCAUGUGAUUGCCUGUGUCAUUUGUUUGGCAGCUUUGUGAUGGUCUGAGGUCCAUGAAGGGAUUAAAACCAGGAACUGGCUCCUUCUCCAACCACUAAAGCCUCAUCUGGGCCCACAAGCCCUGGCUGUUCCCUGGAGCGUGACUGGAAGAUGUGAGCAGCUUUGUGCUGGAGCCCCAUUUCCAUGGGUAAACUGUUCACCUGAUCAAACAGCUCCCCAGAGUUCCACAGUACCACAUAUUUAUUUUCUAGAACUUUGUUUUUAGCUGAAAGGGAUCUUAGAGGCUAAGGCAAUCCUAUCACUUUACAGGUGAUAAAACUGAGGCCCAGAGAAGUGAAGUAACUUGCCUAGGCCCACACAGCUCAUCAGUAAAAGAGCCAGAACACAUGGCCGAGACUUCUCCCUAAUCCAGCGUCUCCUCCACACUCCCAGCUCACCCCUAGGGUUUGUGCCCAGGCUGAGGACACUAUUUUCAGAGGCACUAAUGUGAGGCAAAGGGCAUGUUACCAGACACAGCCCCGCCUACCCCGGUCCCCUGAGGUGGAGCUGUGCAUUCCACUGGCUUCACGGUUCCCCUCUGCCCUGGCGGCUUCUGGUUGGUAUUGGCGCCACCGACUGCUCUGCCAUGGCUCCUCAGUGAGUGCUUUGGGUGUGAUUGACAAGUUUCCAUGACAUCUCCCAGGGAGUGGGGUCCUGAUGUUGGUGACAUCUCUAUCGUUCAUCUUUUCAUGGGGCUGAUGAAUUCCUAGAAAGGGUAGAAGGAGAAGGAGCCACUGAAAGAGGCUCUUUAAAACUUCCCUGAGUGUCCCCCAGUGCAAAUGAACAGGAGCCCCAGGACACUUGAAGGCCCUAGGAAAUCACACCUCAGAGCCACAGAUGCAUCCUAAUGCUCUCUGCAGACGGGGCACGUGUCGGAGGUGAGAACAACAGCUCCAGAUGUCUCUGUCUUUGCAAAUAAGGCCUGUGACAUUUAAUGAUGUAACCACCUACCUUCCACCCAUUGUUCUGGUGGCCAUGAGUAGAAGGAAUUAUACCAGGAUGUGAUAAGAAGGAAUUAGGAGCUGGGAGUCUUGCUGGGUGAGGACCUUGGCCCCUUGCUUGCUUGCCAUCUAAUAGGGGCACUCCUGGCCUGUGGGGUCAGGGAGAACUAGACCCAGAGCAUGGUUGUCUCUGUGACUAGUUGAGCCUGUUUCUCCUUCAAGGGCCCUGGCAGUGGGAAAACAUAUUAUGACAAUUGCACUGUUUUAUCAGCCCUUGGCACUCCUGAAGUUGCCCUGAAAUAAACAUCCCUACCUGUAUGCCAGGCCCUGCCUACUUCUGGAGCUCUCUUAGGUUUACAACCUACCCCCGCUGUCCCAAAUUGAUAGGGUGAGCCCAGGGCAUUAAAUGGGUGGUGCAAGUCAGGCUUCAGGACUGACACGGGUCUAUGUGCGCUCAGUGUGGGUUGAGGGGCACUGGGCUGUCUUUCUCCCUACAGUGCAUGCUGCUGCCAAACCAGAGAUCACUUGUAGACUUGAAAGGGAACAUGAGCUUUGGGUGAAGGAUUCCCAGCCCCCAACAGAGGCCAAAAAGCUACCACCCAGCCAGGCAGAAGGAACAUAAAGUAUGCAUUUUAUGAUACGACUCAGCUUGGAGGGAUGAAGUAGAAGGUCCUCACUGCACCUCAUGGCAGGCUGCUGACGGCAGAUAUUUUACCGGGCUCACUGAACUGGGCAGUCAGGGAAGGGUCGGCUCCUGCUCUGUCCAGCUGUCUUCAUAAGGGACUCUGUGACACUUUUUAUAAAAAUGACUUUGAUUUCUGCAUAAGAAGGCUUCCCAAGCUUGCUGUCUAGCAGUGGCUGCUACAGGGAAUUAUUCACAUGGCAGCAAGAGAGCCCUGGCUCCCUGGACCAGGACAUUCCCUUUGUGUGUGUUGGAAUGAGAGCAGGAGGAGUGCUGGUCAGAAGCCCCUCCCCAGGGCUCUGGGACUUCAGUGUUCUCAGACAAACUGGGCCGCUCCUCUGAGCUGGGAUGCUGACCCACACUUGGCCCCGGCUCUGGCAUCCACAGGACGCUGCCUUAUCCGUCAUCUCGCUGGGGCUGGGGGCUAGAGGCUGAGCAGGUCACACUGAACAAAAGAAGUGUGUCCCCAUCACUAGGCUAACAUCUGAGUUUCUUCCACAGUAUUUGGUAACACAGUCAGAAACAAGACUGAAGAUGAUUCUGGAGGCAACUGGGAACCCCCCAGAACGAUUCUGCAGGCUUCUGGGAAGCUGAAAAACCCCAAGGCCAGACUGGCCUCAGAAUGCCUGAGUCCUUUUGAUUCCACUGGAAAAGCCAUCCAUCUGUGCCAAGUGUGUGGAGAGCUUCAAGAGCCAUAUAGCCCUGGCCACCAUGAGCACAGCCACGUGGGGGAGUAGUCCUGAAAGUGUCCUGGUGUGGCAAAGGCUUUCCACUAAGUGGACCUCAGAUGGCACAGGAAGACCCUCCUGGGGAUGUGGGAGGACACUGCCUAGUGGGUGAGGGGCCGCUCUUUCAGGUGUGCACACUAAAUGCAGAGACAGCCUCUCCUGGCUGCCAAGAAGCCUGUGCAUGAUCCAGGACCACAAAACACUUGCAAACUCACUGCCCAGAGGCCCUGUGCCUGUCUGGAGUGUGCCCAGUGUGUCUGCGCCCCACAGCUUGUCCUGGCCCGCCAGCAGAGCCGCAGCACUGCAGGGCCCUUCUGUUGUGAGUGCCAGGGCCCUUGCUGGCUGCCUGAGCAAGGCAAAAGGUUCAAAACAGGAAGUCUCUGGGCAGCUAUUCCCAGGUGCAGAGGGGAGCAGCGGCCACACAGGUGCCAGUGUGGCAGGAGCUGCAGUCAGAGGCAGCAUCUCAAGAGCCCUGGGAGCAGGGGCCAGCCACGUGAAGCCCACGAGUGUCGCUGGCACAGGGAAGGGACACGAGGAUCACACUGACCCAAGAGAAGGCCCACAGUGAGGAGGCCCCACCGAAGCAUCCCCAGCAACAGGGACUGAGGCAUCUGAGGCAGCCAGCCCACUCGGAAAGGCCUGCUGACUGCACUCCAGAUGUCAAGAGCACCCUUGGGAAAAAGAAAGGCAGGAGUGCAGCACUUUCUAGAGCCUCAGCUCACUUCUCUCCUUCUAGCUCCAGCCGGAGUGAUGGAAGAGGCUGCGCUGGGAGCUGCCUCCCUGGGAGCCUACCCUGCCCAGCCUGAGAGUGGAGGCUACCAGCAUCACGCUUCCCCUAGUGAAAUCCAUCUGUCCUGAAGGGAACCCUGGGACGGGGUCAAGGAAACCCUGUUCACCCCCACCACGGGGUCAGGUCUUCACCAAAGGGAGGCCGCACGGAUUCCCAGUCGCAAACCCAAAGCCUUGCUGCCUUUGCCUCUGUUUCCAUAGUUGUUUCAAUGUCUUUUUUAAAAAUCACAUACACUCGAGUAAGACUGAGUCUCCUCACCGAAGAGAUCUGGCUGUAUCCCGAGUCUCUGAAACCUUUGCUCCAGUCCCGUGGGAGCGUGCCGUCCCGAGGAUGUGGAGCCGCAAGGGCUCGCCAGAGGGAUCUCAGGAGCUAGGCCUCAAGGAGCGCUGUUGAGUGACAGGUCUGAUGCAGUAGCUUUUACUAUUGGUGGAAAUCGAUGUUUUUUCCUUGAAAGUCUACCUUUCUAAGUUCAGUAAACCAAAUUAGAUCAUGUAUGUGAAAGCACUUUGUAAACUAUGCAGUACUCCAGAAAAGGCAGCCAAGCCCUUAAUUAUAACUCACCAAACAGCCAACUCUCAUCUUUACCUUCUAACUGGCAAAAAUGAUUGAGCUCACUUUGAAGGACUAGAGAGGAAAGAAACUGAAAGACAAAAAUCAGGUGAAUACACAGGCACUUCCCCUGCCCACCUCUGUUCCUGGCCCUGUCCCCUCGUGAGUGAGAGCAGAGCUCGUUCUGUCAGCUUCUCUGAGCUCCUGGUCCUCGCUUAGGGACACACAAGACAGAGAUGUGUUGAAAUAGACUCUGCUUUAUUCAGGUAGCAAAAGGUUAGGAAUCAAACAUGGUUUUUAAAACCUCCUUUCAUCUUUGAAAAUAGAGGAGAGAACAUCCCUGGGCCAGUCACAGUUACUGUAUUUGGCUAAGCACACACCUGUAUGAGGGACCCGCCCCUCCACACUGUUCUGAUAGGUACUUAGCACCCUAGAAACUCAUCCUCUGCAGGAGAGAGAAGCAAGGGUCUGGAGCGCGGUCACAUACUCUAAGGUAUCUUCCAGGACAGGGGGCUGGGCUCCCUCACUCCCACCUGGAGUCGCUAUGGCUAUUGGGAUCAAACUACCAGUUACAUACUGGUUACUUGGAAUGUCAGACCCGGUGGGUAUCAGUCAUCAGGGAGAGGGAGGGGAAAUGCCAGGACACGUACAUACGGAUGCUGUCAAGACUACAGGCAAGGAGGAGGGUGGCGACAAGCGCUGGGACUCCAGCCAAAGCGGGAGUGCAUGCUUCUUCCCCUCCCAGAGCCCUGUGGUUUUUCUUCUUGUGAGGCAUAAACAGGAAGCCUCUCCAACAAGGGGGUCUCCAGCACUAGGGGCUGAAACUCAGCCAGCCUCUCCAAACAAAGCAAAGGGGCCAGCCUGGGCCAGGGCCUCUGAUAAGGAUGCUCACUGUGUUUCCACGGGGGUCCUGAAUGAGGAAGUUCAGGAAUAAGAUGGCAGUCAUCUUCUUCCUUCUUGGCCAUUGGCUGACAAAGGGGAACGGAGCAGGCCUGUGCCCCUUGAGAAAUCGGGUAGUGCAAAUUUUAUGACAAACAGCAUUCUCAGUGGCCCCGCUGCACAGGGACCCCCCUUUCCCACCACCUAAGGAAGGCACUGGCCGGUGUCCUCGGAGCACGCUGAUGCUGACGUGGAGAGGGCGAGUUGCUUCCCCUAGCUUCCACCUCAGCUCCAGAACUACUCCCACAGAGACCCACUCACGGCUGCUCACAGGAUGGCCUCCUGCUCUGAGGGAUUCUUCAAGGAUGAAGAGGCCGCAGGAAGCAUGUGUGCUGGAACAGCACCUUGAUGUGGAAUCCCUGUGGGUAGGGCAGAGGCUAUAGCCCCACCUAAAAAAGCCUUUCUCCCUCCCUUUCCACGAGUUCACAUCCACAGUGCCUGACCUGGGCAAGUUCCUGAACGCCCAUGGAGACGGUGAUGGGGAGAAGGAGGCCUGUGUGUGCCUUAGCCACGCAGAUAGUAACACCUCCCAGAGCUCCCGCACCACAGGCCUGUGGGGUCCCUCUGACCGCCAGACCCACAGGGCUGGGAGACAUUUCCACAGGUCAAAGGCAGAAAGCAAGAAAGGAAUUCCUGACUAGAACUGAAAAUGACACGAAAGCAACAGUGCUAAGGCUAAGUACUGGGGUGGGGAUGAAAGGGCAGGUGGGGUACCAGGGUACCUGCGGUACCAGGGAGGGGCUCGGACGCCAGCAUCUACCCUGGGAAUGGGAAGGGUACUCAGACAGCAGCUUCUACCCUGGGAAUAGGAAGGGUACUCAGGUGCUCAGAUGCCAGCAUCUACCCUGGGAAUGGGAAGGGUACUCAGACAGCAGCUUCUACCCUGGGAAUAGGAAGGGUACUCAGGUGCUCAGAUGCCAGCAUCUACCCUGGGAAUGGGAAGCGGCAGACUAUGGAGAAAGGGCCCACCCACAGGGGCCUGCAGCACAGCACAGGACCUGCCUGAGCCAGGCAGCAAGCAAGCUGGGAUGGAUGGCGCCCACUUCCUGCCUGUUUAAAACAAGUAUCAGGCAGGGCAGAGAAACCCUGCCUGCUGACUUGCCUCAUUUCCUGCCCAUGGUUAAGGAAGGCAGAACCUAGACAAAAUCAUCCUCCUCCUGAUAAGCGGCCUCCUGAGCCUGCCAAGACGGAGCUGCCCUUGGAAGGAAAAGUGCUUCACUUUAGGUGGAAGGAAGAUCGGGGCGAGGAGGGUGUGAACCUAGCAGUGCCAGAAGCCCCUCUGUGCCUCUAGGGCGGUGGUUCUGUGGUUCUGAAGCUAGAGCAGGCCCAAAGUCCCUGGAGGAGGUUGUUCAAAGCCCUUGUCACUGAGCGCCCAUUCGGGGAUGUCUCAGUGGGCCCUGGAGAUCCUGGUGCAGAGUCCCCAGGGCAGCUCAGAGAAGAGUGGACUAGCCUGUCGUGCAGAUGGUGCAUUCAGAGAGCAACUCCUACAACAAGGACUUUGGAGACAAAUUCCUACCUGUCCCACUAAGGACGAGGAUGGGGCAGAUGGCAGCUAAGUCCACACUGCAGCCAGAGGUCUUUGAGGGAGCUCGAGGCUCUCAUUCACUAAUCCUAGGGCAGAUGGGGAGUCAGCAGGCACUUGGAUCUCUGCUGCCACUUCAUGGAGAGGGAAACUGAGGCACAAAGAGGAAGGGAUUAAUCAGACCACUGCCUGCAGCAGAGCUGGGGCUGCAUCCCAAGCCUCCCAACUCCAACUUCGUCCCAUCCUCUCCUGGGUAAACCGGGCCGGGCAUGCCACGGGUUAAACGCGGCUCGGCUCUCCGGGAAGCACCAGACCCCCUGCCAGAAGAGCCCAGCUCCACCAUCUGGAGCUGCAGGAAGAGAACUUUCUUGGGUGCUCUGUGCAAAGGGCUUGUGAUUGUUUCGCCCUAAAGGAAGCCCUGGGAAGAGGUAGAGUUCCGCACGAGACCACGGCCUCACUGCUUCUGCUGUGGGAGCCAGGGUAGGAAGUCCCAGAACAAUGCCUCUGGGGGCUCUUGCAGCCAGGCCAGCUGUCCCUAGAGCAGGGGCAACCUCCCCCUCUAACAAGGUGGUCUUUCCCAUUCCCACUUAGACUGUGGGCAGCCUCCCUGGAACAUUCCCCAGGGAUGUCCAACAGUCUCCCCUACCAGGACACUCCUCUUGCCACCAAAACUCAGGGGCUGAAACCUUUCAUGAUGGGGUUAUUUUCUGCAGCACCUUAAAAAUGAACUUGAGAUAUAGAACCUUCUGGCACAUUUGUGUGCUGUGAGGCAUGGCUGUGCUGAGUGGGGCCUCAGGAAACAGGUCAUGCACCUCCUGAUACCCCUGCUGCUCUGGGAUGCCACUGCCCACUUCCUGGUGCUUAGAGACCAUCGCCACCAGCAGAAGAUCCUAGGGCAGCCUAGAAUCUGCAGAGCCUGUCCCAGUGAUCACAGAGGCGUCUCCAAGGCAGUCCCAAGGACUCCCUGUCCCUCAGGACAUCCCGGGGGCCUCCUGGCUGGUGUGGGGAUACAGGAGUCUCUCGGGAGGCUCCAUGAUGCAGUCCUUCAGAACCUCCGCUGCUUCCCUGGAGGGCAGGAUGGGUGGCUUCUGGGUCCUGGGCUCCUCCACAUAGAGGGCUCCCAUCUCCUCCUUCCUGAGCCUGGCGCCUGUGAGGGAGGAAGGAGAAUACAAUUAGACUGACUGACAGUGACCGCCUUCCACAUCCAGCUUCGCCCAGGGGCUGUUUGGUGAGGAAAGCUUGGCAGAACAGACUGAAGUCAGGACCACGACUGCUCUUUGCAGCCCUCAUCUGUUGCUACUCUGUUCAUUCUUUUAUCCUGAGAUAGGGGAUCUCAACUGGGGGCGAUUUUGUCCCCCAGGGGCCAUUUGCCAAUGUCUGGAGAUGAUUUUUGUGGUCACAAAUGGGGUGUGUGCUACUGGUAUCCAGUGGUUAUCUAAUAGGUAGAGGCCAUGGAUGCUGCUCAAGUUCCCACAGUGAACAGGAAGGGCCCCCAACAGAGAUUACCCAGCCCCAGCAUCAACAAUGCCAAGGCUGAGAGCCCUGCCUGGAAGGAGGCAGCGGUGCGUAGUUUGGCAGUGUUUGGACCAAUCUGUGCUGGUCCUGUUGUCCCUGUGGAAAGAGUAACUCGCAUCAGGGCACACCUGACAUCAUUUUUUUCUCCUUAGCACCCACAGGGCUGGACACAGAGCAACUCACCCAGCCCUCUCUCGGCUUUCCCUUUCUCUUAUCAGUGAGGGGUCUCUUUUCUUAUCCCCACCUGCCCUACUGUGGCUUCAGGGCCACCUUGCUUCCUACAGAGCCUCUGUCAGCCAUGAGAUCCAGUCCCAUUUCUGGUGACCACAGACUCAGAGGUGAAAACUGGGAGCAGCAACAGCCGGAAGGAGGCCAGCUAGAGACGCGAGGAGAGAGAGCACUGGGAGCAGCAACAGCCGGAAGGAGGCCAGCUAGAGACGCGAGGAGAGAGAGCACUGCUCCAUCCUUGUCAAGUGGUCGCGAGUGGUCUGGAGAACCCCAACAAUGGGCAUAUUUUCUUUGGUUUUCAGUGACUACUUGAAGAGAAAAAUUUCCUGUCUGUGGCUUUCAGUAACUUGCCCUCCCUUCUAAUACAGCUUCCCCCUCAAGCAAGUUCUUGACCCCAGCCCUCCGGUCCAGAGAGGCUGUUUCUGUUCUCCCCUGCCCCGUGAGAUUUCUGCCUGAAAGCCCCACCAUCUCCUCCGCAUCUCACCUCCUCCACAGCCACAUGGACCUCUUCCCUCUUGAAAAUUCCUGCACGGUCCAGAGUCUAUACAGCCCCACUUAGAAUGUGAUGGCGCUGCCUGGGGCUGGUCAGCCCUCUCCUUACUCCCAGCAGUGGUCUUGACCUUUAACUAGUACCAUUUGCACCACCUGCCAGGCAUUGUCCUGAGUGUUUUCCACACACAACUCAUUCGGCAGAUGAGAAACCAAGGCAUCAAAGGACAGACUUGCCCAAGGCCACACAGCCAGUUGGGGGCAGAGCCAGCACAGCACUGUCACCAGGGCAGACAGGCUCUAGAAAUGCACGCUCUCUGCACUAAGCCCUGCUGCCUAGAGCACAUGUGCGUCAUCUCCCUGGCAGGGGUGCAAGCUCCUGGAGGGUGGAUGUCACGCAUCGAGUACCCACUGGCCUAGCAAAUGGGUGGGUGCAUGACAGAAGCUCCACAGGCACCUGCAGUCCUGUCUUAUUGGCCUCUGGCUCAGCAUGAGGCUGCCUUGGGGGAGCUCUGCCACGUGUACUUACUUGCAGGGGAGCGGGCUGGCACCUGGGCACAGGUGUAGACAUGGCUGAAACGCCGGCCUGAGGAGGUCAGGUACCAGUGCUGGAUGGCGGGCUGGGGGUCGUACUCCGUGACGGCCACGCCGUUCACAGCUGUCAUCAUGAGCAUGUUGAGCACCUCGUUGGAGAGCUUGGUCCUCUCAUCGGUCCUGAUUCGGUUCAUGGCCUUGAACCCCCGCUCACAGCAAGAGGUGGAGAUGGGCACACAGACCACCACGGCCAUGAGCUUGCUUAGCAGGGGGAAGCGGCAGUGCUGGGCCAGGGCGUUUUUGCAGAGCAUGGAGAACGGGAGGUGCUGGGCAAUGGUUUUCAGGCCCAGCCACUCCUCCAGCAGAGCUUCCUCACUGUAUCCUGUUGGGAGGGAGCACUCGAAAUACCUGGCCAGGUUGAGAAUGUCAUCAUUCCCAAAACUGGCAAGUUCAAUCCCACUUGGCCAGGCCAUGGUGUCAAACACCUCCAUGUUCUUCAGCUGUGGGGGUCGGUCUGCGUCAAACCUCUGCUGGAGGUACUCAAUCCCCGUCAGGACUGUCCUCUCCCUAUCCGCCUGGAACCGCUGUUCCGCUACCUCCAGUUUGUCCAAGCAGAUGCCGUGGAGCCGCCCAUCCUUGAAGCUGGCGUUGAAUUCUUCCUCUUUGGGCCCUGCCUGGUGACGGAGGCUCUCCAGUGCCACGUAGGCGCGGCCCAGCGUGGCGUUCACCUCUGUAAUCAGCACGAUCUCCUUCUGGCACACCUCGGACAGAGGCCUGUAGAUGCUCAGGAAGUCCAACAGGAAGUGGCAGAACUUGACAAAGUGGAAGCCGCGCAUGAGCUUCAGCAUCCCUUUGGCCCGGUGCCCAAUCUGGCCCCCAGCCUCUGCCACCCUCUGGAGGUGCCUGGCCAGGGCGGGCCAGCUCACGAGCAGCGCGUGCAGCGUGCGCCUCCUGCUGGCCACCCAGCGGACCGCAUUCAGAUCCUUCAGGCGGAUGAUCUCCUGCUCCAGAGGCGCCGCACCUUCCUGCAGCUCGUUCAGCCUCUUGUUUGAGGACUGAUAAAACUUGAAGACGGUGCGGAUGUGCCGGUCACACUUCUUCACCAGAUCGAUGCUCCCGCAGGCGUCCACCACAGCCAGGUGCAGCCGGUGGGCCACGCAGUGGACAGGCAGCAGCUGCGGGAUGACCUCCUGGAACUUUUCCACAAGGCCUCCUCUGCAGCUCAACAUGGCUGAGCCAUCCGUCCCCAGCCCCACCACCCAGCCAGGCUUCCGGAAGGGGAUGUCCAGCUCAUCCAGGGCAGAAACGAUGGUCUCGAAGUACCCAUCUGCUGUCUCACUGUAGAGAGGGGCCAGAGUGAUGUAGGACUCUUUCACCUCCAUCUGCUUGAAGUAGCGGAUGUAAAUCCCCACGCAGGCCUGCUCGGAGGCGUCGGUGGAGCUGUCCAGCAGCACGCUCACACAGGGCGAGUUCCGCACGUCCUCCAGGAUCUCCCUCUUCAGGGUCUCUGAGAUGUACUUGAUGAACUGAGUGCACGCCGUGCGAUUGCGGUACUUGCCUAAUAUCACGGUCCCCGUGCUUUGGAGGAGCUGCAGGAUCUUCUCAAAGUCAUUCAGGGGCCUUGAGUGGUAUGCAAUGGAGUAGGCGGCAUUGAAAAAGUGCUCCAUGUUGGCCAUGAGGUCGCUGGAGAUCUCUGGAACGAGGGCAGUGUGAGGGGUGUCUUCCUUGAUUUCAACCGUGUUGACACAGAGCCUGUGCGCUUUGCUGACUUCAUGGUAUUUUAAAGUCUCCACUUUAAAAGGCCCCGUGUAACCUCUGACUAACCGAGAUGAUUUAUCAUGGAG
rnacentral:lncRNA from 1 species